AGCAGCUGGUAUGCUUGAAGAAUGUGUUGAAAAGGUUGGAAAACUCAGCCUUCAGUGCUUCUAGUUGGAAAAGAGCCAGCUGCCACUUAGAAAGAGAGAAGACGCCAUAGGGGAACAGCUCAUAGGAGUUUGCAGCCCCUUUGACACAGCUAGAAGAAGGGAAUGCCUAAUCCAUGUCACACCUCCAGCUCAUACCAGGGCAUGUGGGCCUGAAUUGUCAACAAACUUGUGAGUAGCAAAACCUCCUUAAAUCGAGGGCUGGUCAAAUACACAUUCCCCCUUGUCCUGCUUGUUUUGGGUCCAGUUAUAUAGGCAGAGAAAUGAGAAGGCUUGAGAAAAUGCUUGAAGCUCCUGGAGGGACACAGUGACUGCUGCAUAGGCUCCUUUCCACACCUAAG
rnacentral:lncRNA from 1 species